rnacentral:tRNA from 1 species
AGCGAGAUAGUGUACAGGUUCGCACUAGAGUCUCAUUAGCUCUCAGUUUAGGUUCAAUUCCUAAUUUCGCUA